CACGUAGUUAGCCGUGGCUUUCUGAUUAGGUACCGUCAAGACGUGCAUAGUUACUUACACAUUUGUUCUUCCCUAAUAACAGAGUUUUACGAUCCGAAGACCUUCAUCAUUCACGCGGCGUUGCUCCGUCAGGCUUUCGCCCAUUGCGGAAGAUUCCCUACUGCUGCCUCCCGUAGGAGUCUGGACCGUGUCUCAGUUCCAGUGUGGCCGAUCACCCUCUCAGGUCGGCUACGCAUCGUUGCCUUGGUAAGCCGUUACCUUACCAACUAGCUAAUGCGGCGCGGAUCCAUCUAUAAGUGACAGCAAAACCGUCUUUCACUAUUGAACCAUGCGGUUCAAUAUAUUAUCCGGUAUUAGCUCCGGUUUCCCGAAGUUAUCCCAGUCUUAUAGGUAGGUUAUCCACGUGUUACUCACCCGUCCGCCGCUAACGUCAGAGGAGCAAGCUCCUCGUCUGUUCGCUCGACUUGCAUGUAUUAGGCACGCCGCCAGCGUUCAUCCUGAGCCA
rnacentral:rRNA from 1 species